rnacentral:tRNA from 1 species
GACCAUAUAGCCCAAUGGAUAAGGCUCCAGUCUGCGAAACCGGAGAUUCUGGGUUCGAUCCCCAGUGUAGUCG